rnacentral:rRNA from 1 species
CCCUUAGAUGUUCUGAACCGCACGCGUGUUACACUGAUGCAUUCAACGAGCUUUACCUUGGCCGAGAGGCCUGGGAAAUCUUUUUAGCAUGCAUCGUGAUAGGGAUUGAUUAUUGCAAUUAUUAAUCAUGAACGAGGAAUUCCUAGUAAACGCAUUUCAUCAAAAUGCAUUGAUUACGUCCCUGUCCUUUGUACACACCGCCCGUCGCACCUACCGAUUGAGUGGUCCGGUGAAGUCUCGAGAUUGUGGCAAUCUCCUUUAUUGGAGUUUGACUGCGAGAACUUGCCUAAACCUUAUCACUUAGAGGAAGGUGAAGUCGUAACA